UGUGCACACCACCUCACCUGACCUUGUACCGUUAACAGCAACGGAGACUGGGGAUGGCGAGAUACCUAUGGCAGCGAUGCUAGUGCUGGUCCCCGGUAAUCCCAUGACCAGUUUCUUGAUCCUGAUGCGAAAGAGUGAUCAAUGCAUUCAUCUGCCUUGAUCAGUUCAUCUGCCUCGGCCACCACUUCCUCUACCUUUUUUUAUAAAAGCCGAGGACUUUGUCGAACUCAUUAUCCAGCCUCCCGAAGAACAAGAGCUUGCACUCACCUCCCUCGUCCGACGAACUCAGACAUGGUCUGGUGCCUCCCAUGAUCCGAUCCCUCCUCUUGAACCGUGCUCACUAGUAUCACUUCUUCGUCUUCACCACUUUCUUUGGAAGAAUUUCCCGGUGUACCGGCCCGCUGAAGGCUCAGUAGACUGACCCCCAUUUCUUUAAAGGGCCCUGCGAGGUGGUCGUUGGUGCCCUUGGGGAUGGCCGCGAAUACAGCUGCCGGUGGCGCAAGACGUCCUUCAAGAUCAACUAGCGAAAGUUGUGAUCCAUCUGAACAGGAAUGAAACUGCAAAAAGUUGUGAACUGCAAAGUAAUGAUGAAGGGAAAAUGUUCUUGGCCCGUUGAUCCAUUUAGCACAAGAAAGAAGUUCAAGGCAGUUUGCUGUGUUUUCAUUGAGAUGUACCCUGAAUCUCUGUAGUGUAGGGACACACAGAGUCUUGCCUAGAAGAUGGCAAGUUCAUCAAAGGAGAAGACAUAUUGGACGAUCUCUCUUGCAGUACCCGCACUGCCUGUUCGACGAAAUUCCUCACCCCAAACGCGUUCUUCUCAUUCCCGGUAUCCAUCAACACUCUGUUGACUUCUCGCACCACUGUUUCAUUUCUUGGCGGUGUUCUCUGUUUUGUGUUUGUUUUUUUUCUUUUAAAUCCCUGUGUUUUCUUCCUGCCUGUUUGAGUGUUUAGUUUUGCAAGAACUAAAAUUAGCUGCUGUCCACUUAGCAGCCAGUGGCUGCUGCCCGGACAUGUUGAUGUCCUUGGAUGGACUAUCUGUCACCAGCUUGACCCUGCACGUUCUUUAUGUGCCAUAGAGAAGUAGCGCAUUGUUGGCUUUUACCUAUUUUCGAUUUUUCCUAUCUCUCCUCUCAGUAUUAGUUGAUUCUAAUUCGUUACAUUAAUUGUGCGAGGAGAGAGACCUAACUGAUUUGUUUUUCCUCUCUUCAAACUUAAUCGAGCAAUUGUAAUAGGUGUGUAUACUCUGUUUUAAUGGAGUUUCAAGUUUCAUUGGGUUAGUAGAUGUUGCAAGGAAACAGAAUGAGUUUAUGCUUCAUUAAACUGACGUCGAGAGUCGAGGUCAAAAGCAACCCAGUGUUGGGUCGAAGCAAUCAAAUACUCCACAAAGUAUUGUCUCACUUUUGUU